rnacentral:RNase_P_RNA from 1 species
AAACAGUCGCGAGAUAUAACGCUGAAAAGCAAUAUCUUGAGGAAAGUCCGAGCUCCACAGGGCAGAAUAACGGCUAACCGCCGCCGAGGGCAACCUUAGGGAAAGUGCAACAGAGAUAUACCGCCUGUAUAGCCUUAAGGCAACAGGUAAGGGUGGAAAAGCGAGGUAAGAGCUCACUGGUGGUUUUGGUAACAUAACCACCCUGUAAACCCUAUUCGGAGCAACACCGUGGAAGACAUUAAACGCGCCCUGCGUGUCUAUGGAGGUGGCAUGAGCAGCGUGGCAACACACUGACAAGAUAGAUGACUGUUAUAAACAGAACUCGGCUUAUAUAUCCGGUC